rnacentral:rRNA from 1 species
GUGCAGCAGUCGCGAAUACUUUACAAUGUGCGAAAGCACGAUAAGGGAACUCUGAGUGCCUCCUAAGGAGGCUGUUCAGGUGUCUAAAAGCACCUGAAGGAAGGGCUGGGUAAGACCGGUGCCAGCCGCCGCGGUAACACCGGCAGCCCAAGUGGUAGCCACGUUUAUUGGGUCUAAAGCGUCCGUAGCCGGCUGGGUAAGUUCCUUGGGAAAUUUGGCUGCUUAACAGUCAAGCUUUCAGGGAAUACUGCUCGGCUUGGGGACCGGGAGAGGUCAGAGGUACUCCAGGGGUAGGGGUGAAAUCCAUUAAUCCUUGGGGGACCACCGGUAGCGAAGGCGUCUGACCAGACCGGGUCCGACGGUGAGGGACGAAGGCUAGGGGGCGCGAACCGGAUUAGAUACCCCCGUAGU